GUGCUGGAGGAAAAAAGUGAAAAAGAAAAUAACCGUGGUGAUGUCAAGACUUGUCAGAGAAAACUGCAUUGUCAGGCUGCAUAACUCCUUAAUCCUGGAAUGGGAAAACAAGCGCACACUAAUUUAAACGUCAAACAGAGAAAAUAAUUCAAAGGAAUCCUUCUGCCGAGGGAACUGGACUGGCAGGAGACAGGAAAAUAUGAACGCACCUUCGAUGUCUUCACAAACUGGAACCCCGAGGAAAAGCCAGAGCCAGUUUUCUAAGCUUGCUGCUCUAUGUGUGCCCGUGUGGAUGAGUCGGUGCGGUGUGUCUGACUUGCUCCAGAAUAAGCCUCCAUGGGUUCCCAUGGCAGUGGACACGUUUGGUAAAGUUGUAAGACACUGGCCAUCUGCCUGUCAAACUCGGUCACACCAUUUGCCAAACGAAUCCUUGAUAAAGACCCCUGAAAAAAGAUGGAGAACCCUGUCUGGAAGAACACUGUGGCUAUUCGGACUCACCCCUAAAUCCGAAUUUUUAGCUGAAUAGAAAUAUUUUUAUGUUGCACUUUAUCAAAGGAGACGUUUUCUUCAAUGACCCCAUGGCUAUUUAAAAAGAAACAGACACAUGCACACACUUCACAGGUAGAAAGAUCUUUUCUAAAAGUAUUUUUGGGGCUUGCGUUUAAAAAUGGAAGUCUUACCUGAAGGCAAGAAUGAUAGCGGGAAAGAAAUGUUGCAGUCAUUUUUCCCUUUCAAACCUACUGUCCUGUCGUUGGAUAGGAGCCUUUGCUGGUGCUAGGGAUGCGCCCUAAUUGCUCAGUCCUCAGGUGAGUGAGCAGUCCAGGUGAGCUAGUAACAGAAGAGUAUUCGAAUCUAGCACUGAAGCUGUUGUUGCCAGCACUCAAGGUGCUUGCAGAGGCACAAGCCCUUUUGGGAGCUGCCUUGAUGGGUCCCUUUGUCGAGUGCUUUCAGACAGGAUUUCUUCCUUUCCACCCUGCUUCCCCAGCACAGCUAUGCAGACCGAAACUUUACUGAUGGGGUGGAAUUCAUCACCGCACUUUCAAAGAGAAGGUGGAAGACACUGAAAUCAUUUAUAAGUGAGAAUGGAGGAAAGUUAAUGGCAUGAACUUUAAUUAUCCUGAACCUCCCAGCUCUCCUGAGUCUUUGGGAUCACAGUACCUCAAUGAUGUGUGAGUGACGAGCUAGAGCCAGCAAUUUGACUCCCGGAAAGUGGAAAGGGAAUUUGAGUCUUCAGAGAAAACUGGGAUGGAAUGAAAUCACAGAACACCAGAGUGAGGGAGGACCUUGGCCAACUGGUACAAUGCUCCCCACCCGUUUUUCACUAUCGCCUGGGAGGGCAAGAAGAGGCCUGUGUAAGGGUGUGAAGCUUCUCAGCAUCACAGAGGAUUAGAACUGUAACAUGCAAACUUCCGGUAAGAGCCCCCCAAGCGGGUUGCCCCCAUGGUGCCCUGCAGAGGCAGCCUUUUAUUUAAAAACGUAAUUGAUCAGCUUCUGCAAAUUCUCACUGAAGGCCCUUAAAUAAAUCAAAAUGAAGAGAAAGAAUAGUACUCUAC
rnacentral:lncRNA from 13 species